CUUAGCAUGUAUAAUUUUUUUUUAAUAUUAUGAGAUGAUAGACUUUGUGAGUAGAAAUCUUCUUGUUCAUAUUUGAUUUUUUUUAUUUUCUAUAUUGUGUGAGUAGAAAUCUUCUCAUACCUAAUGUAUCAUAACCAAAGCCCUUGGCCGCCUCCCGCCUCCUCGAGCCUGGUCCGAAUCAUUUGUACUGACCAUAAGAAUAUAGCAAGCAAAAUCC
rnacentral:lncRNA from 1 species